CUCCCACGGGAGGCAGCAGUGGGGAAUUUUGGACAAUGGGGGCAACCCUGAUCCAGCAAUGCCGCGUGUGUGAAGAAGGCCUUCGGGUUGUAAAGCACUUUUGUCCGGAAAGAAAUCCCCUGCUCUAAUACAGCGGGGGGAUGACGGUACCGGAAGAAUAAGCACCGGCUAACUACGUGCCAGCAGCCGCGGUAAUACGUAGGGUGCGAGCGUUAAUCGGAAUUACUGGGCGUAAAGCGUGCGCAGGCGGUUUUGUAAGACAGGCGUGAAAUCCCCGAGCUCAACUUGGGAAUGGCGCUUGUGACUGCAAGGCUAGAGUAUGUCAGAGGGGGGUAGAAUUCCACGUGUAGCAGUGAAAUGCGUAGAGAUGUGGAGGAAUACCGAUGGCGAAGGCAGCCCCCUGGGACGUCACUGACGCUCAUGCACGAAAGCGUGGGGAGCAAACAGGAUUAGAUACCCUGGUAGUCCACGCCCUAAACGAUGUCAACUAGUUGUUGGGGAUUCAUUUCUUCAGUAACGUAGCUAACGCGUGA
rnacentral:rRNA from 1 species